CACUUGUUUCAGUAUCUAUCAGUGUCACAUGUGACAUUGAAUUGUUUUCUCAUGAUCAACUAUAUUUAUCCCUUUAAGAUGAGUUUGGUAAUGGUUUAUUAUAGCAUAAUAUUAUAUCCAAGAAACUAAAGUUUACCUAAAAGUUGGUAACAAUUUUGGUUGUCACCAAUCUGGUCACAGAAAAUGGCCAAUUUAAGGUACAUAUCACACUAUUGCUAGGAGUCUAGCUGGGGUUCUCCUUACAGAUACAUAUGUUAUUUUAAUCUGCUUUUAUAAAAGAAAACAUAUUAAAUACUACUUGUGCUUCUUGGGAACAAAGAUUGAAUUAUACUUUUAUUUAUUUAAUGGACUUUCUGUUUUAGUGUGUCAUGUAAGCCAUUUAUGUCAGGAAAAACAAAAAAUUAAGUAUUUUGAUAUAGUUAUAUAUUCUCAAUUUUUAAAAAUAACUGGAUAGAUGUCAUUAUUUUCAAUUACUUACCUUUUGUCUUGUUAUUUUGUUUAAUUAUUUAAGAUACAUUUUGCACGCACACACGCGCGUUUGUGUGUGUGUGUGUGUGUGUGUGUGUGUGUGUGUGUGUGUUUGAUACUAAUGCACAUGUGGCCUCAUAGGACAACUUUGUAGAGUCAGUUCUCUCUUUCCACCCUUCACACUCAGGCUAUCAGGCCUAUGCAACAAAUACUUUUAUCCAUUGAGCCAUUUCCCUGGCCCUUCCUAACUUUUAAUAUGGCAGUGCCAUUUCCUGUUAAAUUAAUUUCUUUCAUAAAAAUGCUCUUUAAUUUAUCUCUAUUAUUUUCAUUGUCAUUAGUUUUUUAUUGUCCUUUAAAAAAUGUUUCCUCAUAUCUGGGAUUACACUAAAAGCUUUUUUAUCUGGUGAGUUGAAAUCACUCAUUUGUUUUCUACUUCCAUAGAUUUUAAUAAAUGAAUUUAGUGUUUUCAGAUUUAUAUGCCUUAUUCUCUAUUUUUCAGACAUUCUGGUGUGGUUUACUAUUCAAUACAAGGAAUUCUGUUAUUUUCUAGAGUUUCAUCAACACAAGUGUUACAAGCAUACUGUUGUUUUCAUUCUACUGUUGAUUUUAGAUUUCUACAUUUCAGCACAGAGCCACACUUUGUGCUGUGUCUGACCCUUCUACUGUAGGCCUAAGCAUGGAAGAGAUGGCACCAUGGUAAUAGGUCACACACUGUACUGUACCAACUUUGAUGUUGACUGCCGGUGUUGACCAUUUGAGGAUCCUGAGAGUGCUGAGGACUGAGAGAGACACUGGAGUCUCCCAACAAAAGACACAUCAUAAUGGAAGCUUCUGAGAUGAACUGAAAAAUAGCAGCCAUAGGAAGAAAUGGCAGCAUGUUGACAGUACAUGUAAAUUAGUCUGUUCUACCCCUCAUCCUUAUUGAAAAUAAAAAUACACUGAUUUUGUCA
rnacentral:lncRNA from 1 species